UACGGAGGGUGCGAGCGUUGUCCGGAAUCAUUGGGCGUAAAGGGCGCGUAGGUGGCCCGGUCAGUCUUUGGUGAAAGCGCGGGGCUCAACCCUGCGUCGGCCAGGGAUACUGCCGCGGCUCGAGCACUGUAGAGGCAGGCGGAAUUCCGGGUGUAGCGGUGGAAUGCGUAGAGAUCCGGAAGAACACCGGUGGCGAAGGCGGUUCUCUGGGCCUUACCUGACGCUGAGGAGCGAAAGCGUGGGGAGCGAACAGG
rnacentral:rRNA from 1 species